rnacentral:rRNA from 3 species
UGGGGAAUAUUGGACAAUGGAGGAAACUCUGAUCCAGCAAUUCUGUGUGUGUGAAGAAGGUUUUAGGACUGUAAAACACUUUUAGUAGGGAAGAAAAAAAUGACGGUACCUACAGAAGAAGCAACGGCUAAAUACGUGCCAGCAGCCGCGGUAAUACGUAUGUUGCGAGCGUUAUCCGGAAUUAUUGGGCUUAAAGGGCAUCUAGGCGGUAAGACAAGUUGAAGGUGAAAACCUGUGGCUCAACCAUAGGCUUGCCUACAAAACUGUUGAACUAGAGUACUGGAAAGGUGGGUGGAACUACACGAGUAGAGGUGAAAUUCGUAGAUAUGUGUAGGAAUGCCGAUGAUGAAGAUAACUCACUGGACAGAAACUGACGCUGAAGUGCGAAAGCUAGGGGAGCAAACAGG